rnacentral:lncRNA from 1 species
GGCGACGUUACUGGGGCUGCACGGUGCUUGUAGCUGGGCAGUCUUAUCAUCAGAGUGGAGCCUGGUAACCACGACCUCCCCGCCAGGUCCUGUGUGUUGCUAGCUGGAGAAGGGUAGUUGAAAACUCAGACCAAGCACAGUGUUUAUAUCGGUCAAAACUGGAAAACUAUGUCCGGGCGCAGCCGAGGCUGGAGGAUCCCUUCAGGCCAAGAGCAACCUAGCAAUAUGGCGCGACCGGAUCUCUGUAGUCCUACCUCAACCCCCAGCUACUUGAACCCCAAGGUUGAAGGCUCCAGUGAGCUAUGAUCCCACCACAGCAUUGCAGCCUGCCAGACUGAGGUAAACCCUGUCUAAAAUAAUAAUAAUAAAAAAAAACUAUCCAAGUGUGCAAGGGGAGGGACUGCUUAAAAAAAACAUGAGGCUGGCUGGGCCCUGUAAUCCCAGCGUUUUGGGAGGCCGAGGGCUUGAGGAUCAGCCAGGUUUCAUGAGUUCAAUGCAGACCUGAAUCAUACCAAGCUGAGACUGGGGUACACACUCUCCUCUACUGAAAAGUAGUGAGGGAUUCCAACUUGGUGAGAGGGAGAGUGGGGGAGAGCCAGACCAGACAAGAGUGCUCACCUGGAAAAAGCCUGCCAUCAAAGGCCAUUUUCACACUUGUUGCUGGAGUUGCAAUCUCGGCUCACCACAACCUCUGCCUCCCGGAUUCAAGAGAUUCUCCUGCCUCAGCCUCCCAAGUAGCUGGGACUACAGGUGUGCAUCACCCUGCCCAGCUGGAGUUUUGCUCUUGUCGCCCAUGCUGGAGUGUGAUCCUGGCUCACUGCAAUCUCUGCCUCCCAAGUUCAAGCG